rnacentral:rRNA from 1 species
GACGAACGCUGGCGGCGUGCCUAAUACAUGCAAGUAGAACGCUGAAGGAGGAGCUUGCUCUUCUGGAUGAGUUGCGAACGGGUGAGUAACGCGUAGGUAACCUGCCUGGUAGCGGGGGAUAACUAUUGGAAACGAUAGCUAAUACCGCAUAAGAGUAGAUGUUGCAUGACAUUUACUUAAAAGGUGCAAUUGCAUCACUACCAGAUGGACCUGCGUUGUAUUAGCUAGUUGGUGGGGUAACGGCUUACCAAGGCGACGAUACAUAGCCGACCUGAGAGGGUGAUCGGCCACACUGGGACUGAGACACGGCCCAGACUCCUACGGGAGGCAGCAGUAGGGAAUCUUCGGCAAUGGACGGAAGUCUGACCGAGCAACGCCGCGUGAGUGAAGAAGGUUUUCGGAUCGUAAAGCUCUGUUGUAAGAGAAGAACGAGUGUGAGAGUGGAAAGUUCACACUGUGACGGUAUCUCACCAGAAAGGGACGGCUAACUACGUG